rnacentral:rRNA from 1 species
GACGAACGCUGGCGGCGUGCUUAACACAUGCAAGUCGAACGAUGAAGCGGGUGCUUGCACUCGUGGAUUAGUGGCGAACGGGCGAGUAACACGUGAGUAACCUGUCCUUUUCUUUGGGAUAACGGCUGGAAACGGCUGCUAAUACUGGAUAUUCAGGCUGCAUCGCAUGGUGUGGUUUGGAAAGGUUUUUUCUGGGAUUGGGUGGGCUCGCGGCCUAUCAGCUUGUUGGUGGGGUGAUGGCUAACCAAGGCUUUGACGGGUAGCCGGCCUGAGAGGGUGGUCGGUCGCACUGGGACUGAGAUACGGCCCAGACUCCUACGGGAGGCAGCAGUGGGGAAUAUUGCACAAUGGACGAAAGUUUGAUGCAGCGACGCCGCGUGGAGGGUGUAGGCCUUCGGGUUGUGAACUCCUUUUUCUCGCGAAAAAGGCACAGUUUUGGCUGUGUUGAUGGUAGUGGGGGAAGAAGCGCCGGCUAACUACGUG